rnacentral:rRNA from 1 species
AGGUAGCAUAAUAAAUAGUCUUUUAAUUGAAGUCUAGUAUGAAUGGUCGGACAUGAAGUAAGCUGUUUCGGCUUUGAUAUUUGAAUUUUACCUUUAAGUGAAAAGGCUUAAAUUAAAUGGUGGGACGAUAAGACCCUAUAAAGCUUUACAUUUUACUUUCCAGUUGUGGGAUUUAAGGUUUCUUAUUCUUAUUGAGUAUAAUGUUUCGUUGGGGCGACGGGAAUAUAAUAUAAGUAACUGUUUUUGGUUGAAAAAUAUAGUUCUAUAGUUUAAUUGAUCCUUUUUAAAGAUUAUAAGAUUUAAGUUACUUUAGGGAUAACAG